UACGUAGGGUGCGAGCGUUAAUCGGAAUUACUGGGCGUAAAGCGUGCGCAGGCGGUUCGUUGUGUCUGAUGUGAAAGCCCCGGGCUCAACCUGGGAAUGGCAUUGGAAACUGGCGAGCUAGAGUGUGGCAGAGGGGGGUGGAAUUCCGCGUGUAGCAGUGAAAUGCGUAGAGAUGUGGAGGAACACCGAUGGCGAAGGCAGCCCCCUGGGUCAAGAUUGACGCUCAUGCACGAAAGCGUGGGGAGCAAACAGG
rnacentral:rRNA from 1 species